CUGCGAAUGGCUCAUUAUAUAAGUUAUCGUUUAUUUGAUAGUACCUUACUACUUGGAUAACCGUGGUAAUUCUAGAGCUAAUACAUGCUGAAAAUCCCGACUCCGGAAGGGAUGUAUUUAUUAGAUUAAAAACCAAUGCCCUCUGGGCUCCUUGGUGAUUCAUAAUAACUUUUCGAAUCGCACGGCCUUGCGCCGGCGAUGGUUCAUUCAAAUUUCUUCCCUAUCAACUUUCGAUGUUUGGGUAUUGGCCAAACAUGGUCGCAACGGGUAACGGAGGGUUAGGGCUCGACCCCGGAGAAGGAGCCUGAGAAACGGCUACUACAUCCAAGGAAGGCAGCAGGCGCGCAAAUUACCCAAUCCCGAUUCGGGGAGGUAGUGACAAUAAAUACUGAUACAGGGCUCUUUUGGGUCUUGUAAUUGGAAUGAGUACAAUUUAAAUCUCUUAACGAGGAACAAUUGGAGGGCAAGUCUGGUGCCAGCAGCCGCGGUAAUUCCAGCUCCAAUAGCGUAUAUUAAAGUUGUUGUGGUUAAAAAGCUCGUAGUUGAACCUUGGGCCUGGCUGGCCGGUCCGCCUCACCGCGUGCACUGGUCCGGCCGGGCCUUUCCCUCUGUGGAACCCCAUGCUCUUCACUGAGUGUGGCGGGGAAACAGGACUUUUACUUUGAAAAAAUUAGAGUGCUCCAGGCAGGCCUAUGCUCGAAUACAUUAGCAUGGAAUAAUAAAAUAGGACGUGUGGUUCUAUUUUGUUGGUUUCUAGGACCGCCGUAAUGAUUAAUAGGGACAGUCGGGGGCAUCAGUAUUCAAUUGUCAGAGGUGAAAUUCUUGGAUUUAUUGAAGACUAACUACUGCGAAAGCAUUUGCCAAGGAUGUUUUCAUUAAUCAGGAACGAAAGUUAGGGGAUCGAAGACGAUCAGAUACCGUCGUAGUCUUAACCAUAAACUAUGCCGACUAGGGAUCGGACGAUGUUAUUUUUUGACGCGUUCGGCACC
rnacentral:rRNA from 1 species